ensembl:miRNA Gm27405 predicted gene, 27405
GUGGGCGGAGCCAUGGUGGGCGGAGCCAUGGUGGGCGGAGCCAUGGUGGGCGGAGCCAUGGUGGGCAGAGCCAUGGUGGGCAGAGCCAUGGUGGGCGGAGCCAUAAUGGCCA